rnacentral:rRNA from 1 species
GAGUGGCGGACGGGUGAGUAACACGUGGGUAACCUGCCCUAAAGUGGGGGAUAACAUUUGGAAACAGAUGCUAAUACCGCAUAAAACCUAACACCGCAUGGUGUAGGGUUGAAAGAUGGUUUCGGCUAUCACUUUAGGAUGGACCCGCGGUGCAUUAGUUAGUUGGUGAGGUAAAGGCUCACCAAGACCGUGAUGCAUAGCCGACCUGAGAGGGUAAUCGGCCACACUGGGACUGAGACACGGCCCAGACUCCUACGGGAGGCAGCAGUAGGGAAUCUUCCACAAUGGACGAAAGUCUGAUGGAGCAACGCCGCGUGAGUGAAGAAGGUUUUCGGAUCGUAAAACUCUGUUGUUGGAGAAGAAUGUAUCUGAUAGUAACUGAUCAGGUAGUGACGGUAUCCAACCAGAAAGCCACGGCUAACUACGUGCCAGCAGCCGCGGUAAUACGUAGGUGGCAAGCGUUGUCCGGAUUUAUUGGGCGUAAAGCGAGCGCAGGCGGUUUCUUAAGUCUGAUGUGAAAGCCUUCGGCUCAACCGAAGAAGUGCAUCGGAAACUGGGAAACUUGAGUGCAGAAGAGGACAGUGGAACUCCAUGUGUAGCGGUGAAAUGCGUAGAUAUAUGGAAGAACACCAGUGGCGAAGGCGGCUGUCUGGUCUGUAACUGACGCUGAGGCUCGAAAGCAUGGGUAGCAAACAGGAUUAGAUACCCUGGUAGUCCAUGCCGUAAACGAUGAGUGCUAGGUGUUGGAGGGUUUCCGCCCUUCAGUGCCGCAGCUAACGCAUUAAGCACUCCGCCUGGGGAGUACGACCGCAAGGUUGAAACUCAAAGGAAUUGACGGGGGCCCGCACAAGCGGUGGAGCAUGUGGUUUAAUUCGAAGCAACGCGAAGAACCUUACCAGGUCUUGACAUCCUUUGACCACUCUAGAGAUAGAGCUUUCCCUUCGGGGACAAAGUGACAGGUGGUGCAUGGUUGUCGUCAGCUCGUGUCGUGAGAUGUUGGGUUAAGUCCCGCAACGAGCGCAACCCUUAUUACUAGUUGCCAGCAUUUAGUUGGGCACUCUAGUGAGACUGCCGGUGACAAACCGGAGGAAGGUGGGGACGACGUCAAAUCAUCAUGCCCCUUAUGACCUGGGCUACACACGUGCUACAAUGGAUGGUACAACGAGUUGCGAGACCGCGAGGUUUAGCUAAUCUCUUAAAACCAUUCUCAGUUCGGAUUGUAGGCUGCAACUCGCCUACAUGAAGCCGGAAUCGCUAGUAAUCGCGGAUCAGCAUGCCGCGGUGAAUACGUUCCCGGGCCUUGUACACACCGCCCGUCACACCAUGAGAGUUUGUAACACCCAAAGCCGGUGAGGUAACCC